GAGGAGGAGGAGGAGGAGGAAGCUGCUGCCGCGGGAUCUGCGGUGCGCGCCCGGCCCGUAUUCCAGAAGAGGGCAUCAGAUCCCAUUACAGAUGGUUUUAAGCCACCAUGUGAUUGCCGGGAAUGAAACUCAGGACCUCUGGAAGAGCAGUCAGUGCUCUUAUCUGCUGGGCCAUCUCUGCAGCCUUCCACUACCCUCUUAAGGUAUAUGCUGUCUGCUUGCAUUAUGUAGGAUAAAGAAAGGUGGGAAGAGGAUACCAGGCAGGCAUAGGGUAUGUCCACAGCUAGGAAUAAGUACCCUAAUGAGCAGGACUUGAUUUUCUAGGCAAGUCACCAGAUGAUAUAGAUAGCAUUAUUCUUCUCCAAGUGCUUUCCAAGGGUGUUAUGUCUCCCUCCUACCUAGCAAAUUUCAGUAGACACUAAUGUAGGAGAUGAUAUAAAGGUGGGAAUUGUCUAUCUUACCAAUAGCGAGAUUAAGGGCAGAACAAUGGGGUUACUUGAAUGUACUACUUAUAAAGGUAUUUGUUUUGAGAUACUUGUUAGAGUUUAGGGAAAUGAUCCAUCCAGCAGAAGCAGUUCUGGUGAUGUGACUUUAUGAAAGCCAGAAAAUGCUGCUGGAGUGUGAGGGCACAGCACGGUCGUUUCUCCAGACCGUCAUUGCCUCUUGGCUCUCAUUUAAACUGUAUGGAUGUCCAGAUAUGGUUGAGAGUAUUCUGGUUCCCUGCAGGGGAUUGGUAGGAUGUAGCUGGCAAUUGGAUGGGCUAAUAAGUAGGUACAUGUAGUUCCUCAAUGUUAUGCUGGGGUCUUGCUUUUGGAUUUUGGGUCUUGACCACAAGAUCCAGUUUCUUAGGAAAUUCCAUUUUGUUUGUAUGAACAAACAAAAUGUAUAAUUUUUUAAAAUACAAAUAGGCCAGAUAAUUUGAACAUUAACCCCAAAUUAAGAGAAAUUGCUGGGUGUAGUGGUUCACAUCUUUAAUUCAUGAGGUGGGCAGAGACAGAUCUCUUGAGUUCAAGACUUUCCUGGUCUGCAGGCCAAUCAAGGCUACAUAGUUGAGACUUUGUCUCAAAACAAAAACAAAACAAUUGACCAAGUAAGAGAAACUGAGUAAAUGUUGCAUCUCCUGAGUGCUAGGGUUAAUGGUGUAUCAUCUAAAUGGUCUUACCCCCCACCUCCUUCCAUAAAGAAAAUCAUGUUAGUCCUUCCUGUGUACAAAGGCCCUGGAACUUUGCUGCAGGAAACAGUGGUCUUUGUUGGGUUGCACUGUGUACUAGAAGGAGAUAGCCAAGCUCACUGUCAGGGUUCAGACCUACUCCUGUCCAAAUCAUGUUCUCUCUGUAAGCCACAAUUCUGACUUAUAAAAUGGCUUAUAAUCCUAAACCUUGAUGUGGAAAAGGAUGGCACUCUUAUGUGUGGCUGAAUUUGAGGGUGCAUCUUACUGUAUUAUUACUGUGCUGUAUUGCUAUCCAUUGGGUGUGAAAGGGGGAAACCAGUAGCAUUUGUUUUGGAAAGAACUGGGACUGUUUGUCCAGGUCUUUUCUACUUUGCAGUGGCCACUCUUCUUGGUUUCCACUCAAGGUCGAAAUUGCUUAUUUGUUUCUAGCUGCUGUUACAUCAAGAGACUUGUGCACCUUGUGAAGAUAGUGCCAAGGGAGAGGUAUUGCUGGGCUUGGUAUUAUGCAAUUUCCAGAAAUACUAAUUAGUAAUUCUUUUGUCCUUGAGUAUGGUUAGUAUCCCCAGUUGUCCUUCCUCAGGCAAUGAGACAAGACUACAGAUGUAAAAAAAAAAAAAAAAAAAAAAACAGGAAGAGGACUAGUUAAAGGAGACUUAAAUUCGAGGACUUUCUAUGUGAAAUGGUUGGCAUUCACUUUGAGGAAGAGUGUAUUUUCUGGCAGCUGAUCAUCAUUGUGUGGUUGAAAUGAGAACCACAUGGAAUAUAGGGGCUGUCCGUGUGGUUCAGUGGUGGGGUGGGGUGGUCAUACAGGGCAUAAGGCUGUCUGCCCUUAGGCUACUGUGAUCUCCCAGGACUCAGUUUCUUGUAUAUAAAAUAGGGUGAAAGGAUUAGGUUGUAGAAUCUGGAGAUUGAGGGAAAGACUGUGUGUUUGUUUGUUUGUUUGUUUUUUUGUUUGUGGUGUGAUCUUUGUAACCCAGGUUUGCAUCUAACUGGGCAAUGCUUCAGUAGCUUUCUGAGUGCAGGGACAAGUGUUGAGUCACCUCACCCAACAGUAAUUCUUUAUCUUUUUUCAAACAGUGGGUCAUAAAAUGGAUUAGCGGGUUAAGAUAGGACAAAGAAUAUCAUACAUUCUAAGGCUAGUUCAUAAAACCUUUGCCUGAGUUUAUUUAUUGAAAUGUCUCUUAUCUUCUCUCCCCUCUUCUCCUUUUUAAUUUUAGACAGGGACUUUGUUGUUGUUUUGGAGACUGGAUUCUCUGUUCAGUCUUGGCUGUCCUGGAACUCACUCUGUAAACCAGGCUGGCCUUGAAGUUGAUAUCCACCUGCCUCUUCCUUCUGAGUGCUGUGAUUAAAGGCCAGGUGGCAUCACCAUACUGCUGGUUUUGGUUUUUAUUUUUUGAUUAGUUUGUGUUGCUUAGUGUUGUUGUUUUCCCACUUACCCAAGUGUGUUCUUGGAUAUGCUUUCUAGCAGCAGGUGAAACGCAGUUUCUGUUCUUUGUCCUCAGUGCUUGGUAGGAGUUUGUGUGUGGUAAGGGCUGAGGAAGCAGGUAGUAAAGAUCCUGCUAAGUGUUUGGAAGCAAGUGUUAUAGACUGCUUAUGUAUUCUAUGUGUGCUGGGUUGUGCUG
ensembl:lncRNA